rnacentral:tRNA from 2 species
GGUAGAUUGCCCGAGCGGCCAAUGGGAGCGGACUGUAAAUCCGCCGGCUCUGCCUUCGAAGGUUCAAAUCCUUCAUCUACCACCA